ACACAUGCAAGUCGAGGGGCAGCAUGGUCUUAGCUUGCUAAGGCCGAUGGCGACCGGCGCACGGGUGAGUAACACGUAUCCAACCUGCCGUCUACUCUUGGACAGCCUUCUGAAAGGAAGAUUAAUACAAGAUGGCAUCAUGAGUUCACAUGUUCACAUGAUUAAAGGUAUUCCGGUAGACGAUGGGGAUGCGUUCCAUUAGAUAGUAGGCGGGGUAACGGCCCACCUAGUCUUCGAUGGAUAGGGGUUCUGAGAGGAAGGUCCCCCACAUUGGAACUGAGACACGGUCCAAACUCCUACGGGAGGCAGCAGUGAGGAAUAUUGGUCAAUGGGCGCAGGCCUGAACCAGCCAAGUAGCGUGAAGGAUGACUGCCCUAUGGGUUGUAAACUUCUUUUAUAAAGGAAUAAAGUCGGGUAUGUAUACCCGUUUGCAUGUACUUUAUGAAUAAGGAUCGGCUAACUCCGUGCCAGCAGCCGCGGUAAUACGGAGGAUCCGAGCGUUAUCCGGAUUUAUUGGGUUUAAAGGGAGCGUAGAUGGAUGUUUAAGUCAGUUGUGAAAGUUUGCGGCUCAACCGUAAAAUUGCAGUUGAUACUGGAUAUCUUGAGUGCAGUUGAGGCAGGCGGAAUUCGUGGUGUAGCGGUGAAAUGCUUAGAUAUCACGAAGAACUCCGAUUGCGAAGGCAGCCUGCUAAGCUGCAACUGACAUUGAGGCUCGAAAGUGUGGGUAUCAAACAGGAUUAGAUACCCUGGUAGUCCACACGGUAAACGAUGAAUACUCGCUGUUUGCGAUAUACAGCAAGCGGCCAAGCGAAAGCGUUAAGUAUUCC
rnacentral:rRNA from 1 species